AAGUACGGCGAGACACGAGGAAUCUUGUCGGAAGAUGUGAGGACCAUCUCAUAAGGCUAAAUACUCCUUAGUGACCGAUAGUGAACCAGUACCGUGAGGGAAAGGUGAAAAGAACCCCGGGAGGGGAGUGAAAUAGAUCCUGAAACUGUGUGCUUACAAUUAGUCAGAGCUCGUUAAUGAGUGAUGGCAUGCCUUUUGUAGAAUGAACCGGCGAGUUACGGUAUCUAGCAAGGUUAAGUCUAAAGGGACGGAGCCGAAGCGAAAGCGAGUCUGAAUAGGGCGUUAAGUUAGAUGCUGUAGACCCGAAACUGGGUGAGCUAGCCAUGAGCAGGUUGAAGUUUGGGUAAGACCAAAUGGAGGACCGAACCAGGGAUUGUUAAAAAAAUCUUGGAUGACUUGUGGCUAGGGGUGAAAUUCCAAUCGAACUCAGAGAUAGCUGGUUCUCCCCGAAAUAGCUUUAGGGCUAGCGUUGACAUAUAAGUUUUAUGAAGGUAGAGCACUGAAUGUGUGAUGGCCCCACCUCGGGGUACUGAGCCCAAUCAAACUCCGAAUGUCAUAAAAUGUGGUCAGCAGUCAGACUGUGGGUGAUAAGGUUCAUGGUCAAAAGGGAAAGAGCCCAGACCGCCAGAUAAGGUCCCAAAAUUGAUGCUAAGUGGAAAAGGAAGUGGAGAUGCACAAACAACUAGGAGGUUGGCUUAGAAGCAGCCAUCCUUUAAAGAGUGCGUAAAAGCUCACUAGUCGAGUGAAUCUGCGCCGAAAAUGUACCGGGGCUAAGCAUCAUACCGAAUCUGCGGAUUUAAAGAAAUUUAAGUGGUAGGGGAGCGUUCUAACAGCGGUGAAGGUAGACCGGGAGGACUACUGGAGUGGUUAGAAGUGAGAAUGCCGGUGUAAGUAACGAAAAGACAGGUGAGAAUCCUGUCCGUCGAAAACCCAAGGUUUCCAGGGGAAGGUUCGUCCGCCCUGGGUAAGUCGGGGCCUAAGGUGAGGCUGAAAAGCGUAGCCGAUGGAUAGCAGGUAGAGAUUCCUGCACUAGUUUAUAGACUGAUGGAGUGACAAAGCAGGCUAACGUCCGCCCCUUAGUGGAUUGGGGACAAGGGAUCAAGGUUUGUGCGUAGGCAAAUCCGCGCACUUUAAGACUGAGAUCCGGUAGGUAAAGGAUGAUGACGUCAAACUUUCAAGAAAAGCUUCUAGGGUUAAUCUAUAGACUACCCGUACCGUAAACCGACACAGGUGGGUGGGUAGAGUAUACUAAGACGCGCGAGAAAACCCUUGUUAAGGAACUCGGCAAAAUGACUCCGUAACUUCGGGAUAAGGAGGACUUUUAAUGAAAAAAGAAAGUCGCAGNNNNNNNNNNNNNNNNNNNNNNNNNNNNNNNNAACGAAGCAUUGAAUUGAAGUCCCAGUAAACGGCGGCCGUAACUAUAACGGUCCUAAGGUAGCGAAAUUCCUUGUCAGGUAAGUUCUGACCCGCACGAAAGGUGUAACGAUUUGGGCACUGUCUCAACAAGGGACUCGGUGAAAUCAAGCUGCCGGUGAAAACGCCGGCUACCCGCGACAGGACGAAAAGACCCCAUGGAGCUUUACUGUAGCUUGAUAUUGACAUUGGGUGUAAGAUGUACAGGAUAGGUGGGAGACUGAGAAUCUAGAACGCUAGUUUUGGAGGAGUCAACCUUGGGAUACCACCCUUCGUGCAUCUGAUGUCUAACCCGCCUGAGUGGAUCAGGGGGAACAGUGUCUGGUGGGCAGUUUGACUGGGGCGGUCGCCUCCCAAAGAGUAACGGAGGCGCCCAAAGGUACCCUCAGAAUGGUUGGAAAUCAUUCGUAGAGCGCAAAAGCAUAAGGGUGCUUGACUGCGAGACCAACAAGUCGAGCAGGGACGAAAGUCGGGUUUAGUGAUCUUCUGGUACCGCAUGGAAGGGCCAGGACUCAACGGAUAAAAGCUACCCUGGGGAUAACAGGCUUAUCGCUUCCAAGCGUUCACAGCGACGAAGCGGUUUGGCACCUCGAUGUCGGCUCGUCGCAUCCUGGAGCUGGAGAAGGUUCCAAGGGUUGGGCUGUUCGCCCAUUAAAGCGGCACGCGAGCUGGGUUCAGAACGUCGUGAGACAGUUCGGUCUCUAUCCGUCGUGGGCGUUGGAGAUUUGAAGGGAGCUGCCCCUAGUAUGAGAAGACCGGGGUGGACAUACCACUGGUGUACCAGUUGGCCUGCCAGGGCCAUAGCUGGGUAGCUAUGUAUGGAAGGGAUAAACGCUGAAAGCAUCUAAGCGUGAAGCCCACCUUAAGAUGAGAUCUCCCAAUUUAGUAAGACCCCUU
rnacentral:rRNA from 1 species